CGGAGAGGGAGCCUGAGACCCUGAUACAACAUCCAAGGAAGGCAGCAGGCGCGCAAAUUACCCAAUCCCAACACGGGGAGGUAGUGACAAUAUGUAACAAUAUACGGCCUUAUACGUCGUAUAAUUGGAAUGAGUACAAUUUAAAUCCCUUAACGAGGAACAAUUGGAGGGCAAGUCUGGUGCCAGCAGCCGCGGUAAUUCCAGCUCCAAUAGCGUAUAUUAAAGUUGUUGCAGUUAAAAAGCUCGUAGUUGGACCUUGGACCUGGACAGGCGGUCCGCCUCACGGCGAGUACUGUCUUGCUGGGUCUUUCCUCUUGGCGAUCUGUUGUUUCGGCAGCAGGGAACCAGGACCUUUACUUUGAAAAAAUUAGAGUGUUCAAAGCAGGCUCGACGCCGGAAUAUAUUAGCAUGGAAUAAUAAAAUAGGACGUGCGGUUCUAUUUUGUUGGUUUUUGGAAUCGCCGUAAUGAUUAAUAGGGACAGUCGGGGGCAUUAGUACUCACAUGCUAGAGGUGAAAUUCUUGGAUUUUGUGAAGACUAACUUCUGCGAAAGCAUUUGCCAAGGAUGUUUUCAUUAAUCAAGAACGAAGGUUAGGGUAUCGAAAACGAUUAAAUACCGUUGUAGUCUUAACAGUAAACUAUGCCGACUAGGGAUCGGUCGAUGUUAUCUUUUUGACUCGAUCGGCACCUUACGAGAAAUCAAAAGUUUUUGGGUUCUGGGGGGAGUAUGGUCGCAAGGCUGAAACUUAAAGAAAUUGACGGAA
rnacentral:rRNA from 1 species